rnacentral:rRNA from 1 species
AACUACGAUAUGCCUCGGUUAGCUGUAAGUAAGCUUACCCGGGGGUUUCCGAAUGGGGCAACCCGAUCUUAAUGAUCAUCAUCUUUUUGAAUUCAUAGAUUAGAUGAAGCAAACGCUGUGAACUGAAACAUCUAAGUAGCAGUAGGAAAGUAAAGAAAUUUCGAUUCCGUCAGUAGCGGCGAGCGAACGCGGAAGAGCCCAAACCUGGAUGCUUGCAUCCAGGGGUUGUAGGACUGAUGUUGAGUUACAAAGGUAUAAGAUAGCAGAAACAGUUGGGAAGCUGUUCCAAAGAGGGUGACAGGCCCGUAUGCGAAAUCUUGUACUCUCUAAUCAGGAUCCUGAGUACGGCCCAGCACGUGAAAUUGGGUCGGAAUCUGGGAGGACCAUCUCCCAAGGCUAAAUACUAACUAGUGACCGAUAGCGAACAAGUACCGUGAGGGAAAGGUGAAAAGAACCCCGGAAGGGGAGUGAAAUAGUUCUUGAAACCGUGUGCUUACAAGAAGUUCGAGGCCGUUAAUGGCUGAGAGCGUGCUUUUUGUAGAAUGAACCGGAGAGUUACGAUUGCGUGCAAGGUUAAGGUGCAAAGACUGGAGCCGUAGCGAAAGCGAGUCUUAAUAGGGCGAAUCAGUACGUAGUUGUAGACCCGAAACCGAGUGACCUAUCCAUGGUCAGGUUGAAGGUGGGGUAAUACCUACUGGAGGACCGAACAAGUGGGUGUUAAAAAACCCUUUGAUGAACUGUGGAUAGCGGUGAAAUUCCAAUCGAACUCGGAGAUAGCUGGUUCUAUCCGAAAUACAUUUAGGUGUAGCCUUGCAAUUAGCUUACUGGAGGUAGAGCACUAUUUGGUCUAGGGGCCCUUCAAGGGUUACCAAAAUCAGAUAAACUCCGAAUGCCAGCUAAGUAUGUGCAGGAGUCAGACGGUGAGUGAUAAGAUCCAUCGUCAAAAGGGGAACAGCCCAGAUCACCAGUUAAGGUCCCUAAAUAUAUGCUAAGUGGAAAACGUUGUGAAGGUGCAUAGACAACUAGGAGGUUGGCUCAGAAGCAGCCACCCUUUAAAGAGUGCGUAAUAGCUCACUAGUCAAGUGCUCUUGCGCGGAUAAUGUACCGGGGCUAAGCAUAUUACCGAAACUGUGGAUGCGUAAGCAUGGUAGGAUAGCGUAAUUAACGCGAUGAAGGAUGACCGUAAGGACAUGUUGGAGCGUUAACUAGUGAGAAUUCCGGUAUGAGUAGCGAAAGAUAGGUGAGAAUCCUAUCCACCGAAUGAGUAAGGUUUCCCCCGGAAGGCUCGUCCGCGGGGGGUUAGUCGGGACCUAAGGCGAGGCUGAAAAGCGUAGUCGAUGGACAACAGGUUGAUAUUCCUGUACCGAUAUUUAAUUGCCGAAGGAAGGACGCAGAAGGAUAACACAGGCCACUAUUGGAUGUGGUUUUAAACAGUUAGUCUUCAUAAGAGUCAAAUGCUUUUAUGUUUAAGGAUAAGCUGUGAAUGUACCAAGUUUACUUGGAAAUUGUGUGAUUUCACGCUGCUGAAAAAAGUUUCGUAGGAAGAAAAUAUUGCCCGUACCGCAAACCGACACAGGUACUCAAGUGGAGAACACUAAGGUGAGCGAGUGAACUAUUGUUAAGGAACUCUGCAAAAUGAGUCCGUAACUUCGGAAGAAGGACUGCUGGUUUUAUACCAGCCGCAGCAAAUAGGCCCAAACAACUGUUUAUCAAAAACACAGGUUUCUGCAAAAUCGUAAGAUGAAGUAUAGGGGCUGACGCCUGCCCAGUGCUGGAAGGUUAAAAGGAGGACUUAGCUUCGGCGAAGGUCUUAAUUGAAGCCCCAGUGAACGGCGGCCGUAACUAUAACGGUCCUAAGGUAGCGAAAUUCCUUGUCGGGUAAGUUCCGACCCGCAUGAAAGGCGUAAUGAUUUGGGCGCUGUCUCAACAAUAGACUCGGUGAAAUUUAAAUUCCAGUGAAGAUGCUGGGUACCCGCGACAGGACGGAAAGACCCCGUGGAGCUUUACUGUAGCUUGAUAUUGAAUGUUUGUGCUGCAUGUGCAGGAUAGGUAGGAGACUUUGAAGUCGGAACGCUAGUUUCGAUUGAGUCACC